CUACGGGCGGCAGCAGGUAAGAAUAUUUUGCAAUGCACGAAAGUGUGACAAAUUGAGUCAGAGUGUUUUUCAUAUGAAAAACUUUUGCCAAAUGUAGAAAGUUUGGCGAAUAAGGACUGGGUAAGACUGGUGCCAGCCGCCGCGGUAAUACCAGCGGUCCAAGUCGCAGCCAUUAUUAUUGGGUCUAAAACAUCCGUAGCUUGCUUGAAAAGUUCCUUGUGAAAUUUUAUAUCUCAAGUAUAAAACGUGCAAGGAAUACUAUCUUGCUAGAGACUGGAAGACGUAACGAGUAUGUUCGAAGUAGCGGUAACAUGUUUUAAUCUUGAACAGACUUACAACAGCGAAGGCACGUUACGAGGACAGUUCUGACAGUGAGGGAUGAAGGCUAGGGGCGCAAAACGGAUUAGAUACCCGAGUAGUC
rnacentral:rRNA from 1 species